rnacentral:rRNA from 1 species
GGGGGAAAAAUUAAUAAAUAAAUAUUAAUAAAAAAAUUUUUAAAUUUAUUAAGUAUUUUAAUGGGGGUUAAAGUAUUUUAAUAGAAAAAAUUUAAAUUUUUAUAGUUAAUUAGUAUUGUGAGAGAAAUUUGAAAUAAUUAUAAAAUAUAAAUUUAUUAAAAAGUAAUUUUUAUUUAGUGUAUCUUGUGUAUCAGAGUUUAUUAAAAAUUUAUUUUGGUUAAAAUUUUCUCGAAUUUAAAAGAGCGAAUUAAAUAUAAAAGUUAUUGUAGUAAAAAUAUUUUUAAUAUUUAAUUUGAAAUGAAAUGUUAUUCGUUUUUAAAUAUAUCUAGUUUUUUUAGAAAAAAAUUUAAUUUUAAAUUGAUUUUUAAACAUUUAUAUUUUAUUAAUAAAUUUUUAAGAUUAAUUUUAUAUUUUAAGGGAUAAGCUUUAAAUUAAAUUAAUAUAAUAUUUAAUUUAAUAUUGAAAAUUGUAUAAUUUAUAUUGUUAAAAAAUUUUAUUUUAUUAUAAAUAAUUUCAAUUAAUAUAAAAUUUAAUUAAAAUUUAUUAUUUUAUAAGAAAAAUAUAUUUAAUAAUAUAAUUUAAGUUAUAAUGAUAAAAUUAGUAUAAAUUUUUAUUAAUAUUAUUAAAUUUAAUUUAAGGUAUUUUAAAGGAAUUCGGCAAAAUUUUAUAUUCACUUGUUUAUCAAAAACAUGUCUUUUUGAAAAUAAUUUAAAGUCUAAUCUGCCCACUGAUUAAUAAUUAAAGGGCUGCAGUAUUUUGACUGUACAAAGGUAGCAUAAUCAUUAGUCAUUUAAUUGAUGACUUGUAUGAAAGAUUGGAUGAAAUAUGAACUGUCUUUAAAUUAAAUAUAGAAUUUAAUUUUUAAGUUAAAAAGCUUAAAUAAUUUAAAAAGACGAGAAGACCCUAUAGAGUUUUAUUAUUUAUUUAAAUUAAUAUUUUUAUAAUUAGUUGUAUUUAUGUUAAUUUUUAAUAAAUAAUUUUAUUGGGGUGAUAAAAAAAUUUAAUUAACUUUUUUUAAUUUAAAAACAUAAAUAAGUGAAUAUUUGAUCCAUAUUUUAUGAUUAUAAGAAAAAAUUACCUUAGGGAUAACAGCGUAAUUUUAUUUUUUAGUUCAAAUAAGAAAUAGAGUUUGCGACCUCGAUGUUGGAUUAAGAUAAAAUUUAAAUGCAGAAGUUUAAAAGUUUUGAUCUGUUCGAUCAUUAAAAUCUUACAUGAUCUGAGUUCAAACCGGUGUAAGCCAGGUUGGUUUCUAUCUUUUAAAAAUAAAAAUAUUUUAGUACGAAAGGAUUAAAUAUUUGAAUUAUAUUUUUUAAUUUGAAUUUUAUUAAAUAUAUAUAUAUAUAUAUAUAUAUAUAAAAAAUUAUUAUGGAUUU